AUUGAACGCUGGCGGCAGGCCUAACACAUGCAAGUCGAGCGCGGAAGUUCUUCGGAAUGAGUAGAGCGGCGGACGGGUGAGUAACGCGUGGGAAUCUGCCCAGUAGUGGGGGAUAACGUUCCGAAAGGAGCGCUAAUACCGCAUACGCCCUACGGGGGAAAGGGGGGAUCUUCGGACCUCUCGCUAUUGGAUGAGCCCGCGUCGGAUUAGCUAGUUGGUAGGGUAAUGGCCUACCAAGGCGACGAUCCGUAACUGGUCUGAGAGGAUGAUCAGUCACACUGGAACUGAGACACGGUCCAGACUCCUACGGGAGGCAGCAGUGGGGAAUAUUGGACAAUGGGGGAAACCCUGAUCCAGCCAUGCCGCGUGUGUGAAGAAGGCCUUAGGGUUGUAAAGCACUUUCAGUGGGGAGAAAGGCUUGUUGAUUAAUACUCGACGAGAUUGAUGUUACCCACAGAAGAAGCACCGGCUAACUCCGUGCCAGCAGCCGCGGUAAUACGGAGGGUGACG
rnacentral:rRNA from 1 species